rnacentral:rRNA from 1 species
UGGCGAACGGGUGAGUAAUAUAUCGGAACGUACCUUAUCGUGGGGGAUAACGCAGCGAAAGCUGCGCUAAUACCGCAUACGCCCUGAGGGGGAAAGCGGGGGACCGUAAGGCCUCGCGCGAUUAGAGCGGCCGAUAUCUGAUUAGGUAGUUGGUAGGGUAAAGGCCUACCAAGCCGACGAUCAGUAGCUGGUCUGAGAGGAUGAUCAGCCACACUGGGACUGAGACACGGCCCAGACUCC